CCCCAGGAUGAUCAGUGGAAACAGGAUGCACCUGAGCUCAAUGUUGAGCUUCACGGCAAAUGCUGUGUAUACUUGUGUACAUGUGAUUUCUUAGUGAAAUGAAUAAGUGAAUAAAUGAAUAAGGAAUAAGGCUGUAACAUAACAAAAUGUGGAAAAAGUGAAGCACUGUGAAUACUUUCUGGAUGCGCUGUAUAUUCAAAUGCAUGUACAAGGUGUAUUCAAUUGAAUAUGGGUUGAAGAGGAUUUGCAAAUCAUUGUAUCCUGUUUUUAUUUACAUUUUACACAACAUCCCAAGUUCAUUGGAAUUGGGGUUGUAUGAUGUUGAAACAGUCCAGGGAUGGGACGUAGUCCAAAUGAAAGGAGGCAAGUUAGUAUGAGGCAUAAGUGUCAGGAGAGAACACGGCAAUAUACAAAUAAGAAUGUUUAUGAGUUCAAUGGUAUGAAUAUUUCAGGAGAUGAAAGAUGGAAGCCGAGUUGAAUGGAACAUUCCAUCUUUCACCAAAUUAAAUAUUUGUUCCAUUGAAAGAAUGUAAAAACAUUCAUUAUUUGUUUUAAAACAGAUCCUUGUCUUUUGAUAUUAUAUUACAGUUUUUCCUCAAUUUAUAAGACACUAAAUUCCAUUGACUACACACAUUCUCCAACUGACUGCACACAUUUCUCAAAAACAACUCUGUCAUCAAAAUAUUGCAUACGUCAUGGCUUACACACUGCUCUCAAAACUGUUGCACACUGUUAGAAAAACCUUGCACAUUUGAACAAACAUUUCAGUCAUAGCACACGUUUUUCAAAAAGUGAACACUAGGAGGCAGAAUGCGAACACUGUUCCAGCACAGCUGUCAUAAUUAAGACACAACAGGUCAAAGCUGAAAGCACUGUCGCUAAUGAACAGCAGAGCAUAAAAUCUGCUGGGAAGCAGCAUUGUCUUCAAAAUGGAUGUCAGAGGAGCAAGAGGUGGACGAGGAAGACGUGGCUGUGGACGACCCAGACCGGAGCUGGAAUGAGAACCUGGAGCGGCCCAUAGACCUGGUCCAGAUCCAGUACCUGCUCUCCAGCCUCCUCCAGAACCAGAACCUGAAUCUGCUCCUCAGCCUUGUCCAGAACCUGUCCGUGCACCUAAUCCUGGCCUGCGACCCAGACAAAGACCAAGGCUUCAGCAGAGACAAAGACCCAUGCAAGGAAGGAGAAUUUCAGAUGAGAUUCGAGAAACUGUCAUCAAUAAUGUGUUGAUUCAUGGAAUGACCCUGAAAGAAGAAGGACAAAGAGUCACACCCAACCUCAGCAGAUACUGUUGGAUUAAUUAUCCGACGAUUUGAAGAGGACAACAGAGUUGCAAGACCGCGUGUUGCAGCAGGACGAGCACCUUUAUUCAUCCAACAGCAAGAGGCCUUAAUAGUCCAAAUGGUGGUGCAAAAUAAAGCAAUCAAACUUCGGGAAAUUUAGUAACAGAUCAUUCAAGAUAAUAACCAUUUCAGGGGCAUCAACAGUGUAAGUCUCUCCACCACUGAUCGUAUCCUGAUGAAAAACAGAAUUGGCAUGAAGCAAGUCUACAGAGUUCCCUUCAAAAGAAACACCCUCAGAGUAAAAGAACAGCGAUUCCAAUACUUAUGUACAAAGGAUUUUUCAGUUGGUCUCUGAUGAUAGGCCACAUGAAUACUUGUACAUCUAUGUGGAUGAGGCUGGCUUCAACCUGGCCAAGAGGAGGAGGAGGGGAAGAAACAUCAUUGGACAGCGGGCUAUAGUCAACAUCCCAGGUCAGCGUGGGGGCAGUGUCACCCUCUGUGCGGCAAUAAGCAAUUUUGGAGUCACUCACCGUCAUGCAGUCCUGGGCCCAUACAACACCCAGCGUUUGUUGACUUUCUUAGAUGGACUUCGUGAGGCCCUGAUGGGACAGAUGCAACUGGGUGUUUUUCAAACAGACACUGUUUUUGUUGUUGUCUGGGACAAUGUACACUUUCAUAGAGGGCUAUUGAGUAGAGAAUGGUUCAGUAUGAACCCUCAGUUUAUGGUUGUUUUUCUCCCUUCCUUAAUCCUAUAGAGGAAUUCCUUUCAGCGUGGAGGUGGAAGGUAUACGAGGUCUGUUAGGAAUUCGCGCGUCGGGAUGAGCCGCAUGGCGCAAAGCAACGCCAUGAUGAAGCCUCACAGGACAUGUUCUGGCAUGUCCAGGCUCAUCCACAAUUUCUCGGAUAGUCACACGACUGAAAAGCCACCGAAAGCCGUCUGAAAGCCAUCUGAAAGCUCCCAGUUCCAGGCUUAGAUGCAUAUAAUAACUUAGCAGCUCACACUCUCUGAGGAACUGCACUCAGAGAACUACAGUUACAUUAACUCAGAAGCUUGGCUGCUGCGUGUGGAUCACUGCUGACUGUCAACUGAUUAGAUCAUAAUUAACUGAAUGGUUCAACCAGUGGAAUAAUAAGAUGACUGUACGCUGAUCCUGAACUGCGCAGAAACGCACAAACCCAAACUACAGAUUAACCAUUGAUUUUCACUAAACUCCAUACAGGAAGGACUCGGAACAGAAUAUCUGCUGAGCACCGAGAAGCGUGGAUAUGAACGUACUUUGAGAAUGAACAGCGUGGGUGAAGCACUGCAUGUGAUUACACACCAGACAGAAAUGACAGAUAAUGAACAGCAUGAGUGGAAAAACCUGUAUGAUCCGCUCAGCAUUACGGGAAUGAUGUAUUAGUGCAGGAGCUCGCCCUGCAGGAAAAAAACACGAGUAACAAACAUCCUUCUUAGUAACUUAGAUUUUCACGGCAGGAAAAACACAGCAUGUUGCAAACAUGCACUGGGAAGCACCAGUGGAAAAAAUACACAGACAUAUACUCUCGUGGACAAGGGUGCCCACAGCGAGAGGGUUACAACAAGAGCACAGAAUUACAGUUCGGAAAAACUGAGCAGGAAGAGUCAUGAGCUCGAAGGCUCACAUCAGGAACACAACAGGUGGCAUUAGUUCCAAAUGUGACGACGGAACGUCAGAUAAAGAAUACUAAAAGAAAACAUAAGCUUGGGUUACUGGCUGGGUGCGAUGGAAGAGCACAGCUGGGAACCCGUGUAACCCAGUUCCAACCCAGAGGACGUGGAGGUUCUUAGGGCGGACUGCAGCAGGUGUUAGCUGUUGUAGCAGUGAAAGAAUCUGGCCCCGAACCCAUGAUAGGUUUGGGGUUAAAUCUGAGAUGGUGAUGAUCAUCAGCUGUGAGCACCCACUCAGUAACGAUGCAGAUCAGCUGUGGGACACCGCUCUGUCAAUCCCAUGCGCUGUCUUGACGGAUGGGGCGGGGCCCACGUGCAACAUGACAGCUGGGAGCGGAGCCCUGACGUCGCACACACAGGAUGCAUCCAGCCAGUACCCAGCAACUCCACCUCAGCUUCACCUGAAAACAUUAAAAACAGACAGAAACCAGCAGACCAGGGGCCAACCACAACAACUGUAAUGGUCCCCUCUGACUCAAUUGUGAGUUGCAUUUGUGUUCUGGUUGUCAUUUUUGGGGACUACAUCAUUUUUUUACACUUAAUGUGGAAACACAGUGAGGGAACAGUGUUUUGCAUUUUGCAGUGCAGUGUGCUAAUUUUGAUCAGUGUGUGCACAUUUUGACUGGAGUGUUCUAAUUUUUACAAUA